rnacentral:rRNA from 1 species
UACGAAGGGGGCUAGCGUUGCUCGGAAUGACUGGGCGUAAAGGGCGCGUAGGCGGUUCAUACAGUCAGAUGUGAAAUUCCUGGGCUCAACCUGGGGGCUGCAUUUGAUACGUGUGGACUAGAGUGGGGAAGAGGGUCGUGGAAUUCCCAGUGUAGAGGUGAAAUUCGUAGAUAUUGGGAAGAACACCGGUGGCGAAGGCGGCGACCUGGUCCGAUACUGACGCUGAGGCGCGAAAGCGUGGGGAGCAAACAGG